rnacentral:rRNA from 1 species
ACGUAGGGCGCAAGCGUUGUCCGGAAUUAUUGGGCGUAAAGAGCUCGUAGGCGGUUUGUUGCGUCUGCUGUGAAAAUCCGAGGCUCAACCUCGGACCUGCAGUGGGUACGGGCAAACUAGAGUGCGGUAGGGGAGAUUGGAAUUCCUGGUGUAGCGGUGGAAUGCGCAGAUAUCAGGAGGAACACCAAUGGCGAGGGCAGAUCUCUGGGCCGUAACUGACGCUGAGGAGCGAAAGCGUGGGGAGCGAACAGG